rnacentral:rRNA from 1 species
GACGAACGCUGGCGGCGUGCUUAACACAUGCAAGUCGAACGGAAAGGCCCUUCGGGGUACUCGAGUGGCGAACGGGUGAGUAACACGUGGGUGAUCUGCCCUGCACUUUGGGAUAAGCCUGGGAAACUGGGUCUAAUACCGGAUAGGACCACGGCAUUCAUGUGCUGUGGUGGAAAGCUUUUGCGGUGUGGGAUGGGCCCGCGGCCUAUCAGCUUGUUGGUGGGGUAAUGGCCUACCAAGGCGACGACGGGUAGCCGGCCUGAGAGGGUGACCGGCCACACUGGGACUGAGAUACGGCCAGACUCCUACGGGAGGCAGCAGUGGGGAAUAUUGCACAAUGGGCGCAAGCCUGAUGCAGCGACGCCGCGUGAGGGAUGACGGCCUUCGGGUUGUAAACCUCUUUCGCCAGGGACGAAGCGCAAGUGACGGUACCUGGAGAAGAAGGACCGGCCAACUACGUG